rnacentral:rRNA from 1 species
UACGAAGGGGACUAGCGUUGUUCGGAAUUACUGGGCGUAAAGGGCGCGUAGGCGGCGACUCAAGUUAGAUGUGAAAGUCCUGGGCUUAACCUGGGGACUGCAUUUGAUACUGGGUUGCUUGAAUUCGGGAGAGGAUAGCGGAAUUCCCAGUGUAGAGGUGAAAUUCGUAGAUAUUGGGAAGAACACCGGUGGCGAAGGCGGCUAUCUGGACCGACAUUGACGCUGAGGCGCGAAAGCGUGGGGAGCAAACAGG